AUGAAUUUUAUUGAGUUUCCCUUACUUGACCAAACAAGUUCCAAUUCUAUUAUUUCAACUACACCAAAUGAUCUUUCGAAUAGGUCAAGACUCUCUAGUUUAUGGCCCCUUCUAUACGGUACCAGUUGUUGUUUCAUUGAAUUUGCUUCAUUAAUAGGCUCACGAUUCGACUUUGAUCGUUAUGGAUUGGUACCAAGAUCAAGUCCUAGGCAAGCAGACCUAAUUUUAACAGCCGGUACGGUAACAAUGAAAAUGGCUCCCUCUUUAGUGAGAUUAUAUGAGCAAAUGCCUGAACCAAAAUACGUCAUUGCUAUGGGAGCCUGUACUAUUAUAGGGGAAAUGUUCAGUACGGAUUCCUAUAGUACUGUUCGGGGAGUUGAUAAGUUAAUUCCUGUGGAUGUCUACUUGCCGGGCUGCCCACCUAAACCAGAGGCAGUUAUAGAUGCCCUAACAAAACUUCGUAAGAAGAUAUCGCGAGAAAUAGUUGAGGAUCGAACUCUAUCUGAAAAUAAAAAUAGAUGUUUUACUACCAGUCACAAGCUUUAUGUUAGGCGCAGUACUCAUACAGGAACUUAUGAGCAAGAAUUGCUCUAUCAAUCACCAUCUACAUUAGAUAUAUCUUCUGAAACUUUUUUCAAAUCCAAAAGUUCAGUAUCUUCCUACAAAUUAGUGAAUUAG
rnacentral:rRNA from 1 species